GGGCCUGCACAAGCGGUGGAGUAUGUGGCUUAAUUCGAUGCAACGCGAAGAACCUUACCUGGCCUUGACAUGCAUCUCUAAGUGUGUGAAAGCACAUGACCCCUCGGGGAAUUUGCACAGGUGCUGCAUGGCUGUCGUCAGCUCGUGUCGUGAGAUGUUGGGUUAAGUCCCGCAACGAGCGCAACCCUUAUGUUUUGUUGCCACUUUCGCUUCGGCGGAAAGCACUCUAAACAGACUGCCUCGUCUCAACGAGGAGGAAGGUGGGGAUGACGUCAAGUCAGUAUGGCCCUUACGGCCAGGGCUGCACACGUACUACAAUGCCCAGUACAAUGGGAAGCAAUACCGCGAGGUGGAGCAAAUCCUCAAAACUGGGCCCAGUUCAGAUUGUAGUCUGCAACUCGACUACAUGAAGUCGGAAUCGCUAG
rnacentral:rRNA from 1 species